rnacentral:rRNA from 1 species
CGUGUAGGCGGUAAUACAAGUCUUAUGUGAAAUCCCCGGGCUCAACCCGGGUCGUGCAUAGGAAACUGUAUAACUUGAGUGAGGUAGAGGAUCGUGGAAUUCCUAGUGUAGCGGUAAAAUGCAUAGAUAUUAGGAGGAACACCGGUGGCGAAGGCGACGAUCUGGGCCUUAACUGACGCUGAGGCGCGAAAGCGUGGGGAGCAAACA